UUGUUAUAAGCUUGUACUUAUUAUCUGUGUAAUGUAUCAGUCUUAUAAAAGAUCCCUUACUUGUAUGGAGCCUACAGAAAGUGUCUCUGUCCUUCAUACAGCUUAAAGGAAGCCUAAGUGAUCUAUUAUAGGUAGUCUUUCACUUAGUAUUCAUCCGUAUCGAUCUAAGGCUUGAUCCAACUUAUUAGUAGCCUUAUAAGAAGCUUUCCUCCUUUAAUUUAGUACUGGUAUCACUGCCAUUGUGCUUAGUAGUAACAGGCCUGAUGGGAUGGGUGAUCACAUCAUGGAGGGCCCAGGAAACUGCGUGGAAUUGUCGUAUAACAUUUAUAUUGAUGGUUCCCCCAGGUGGUGGUAAGUGUCGGAGGCCUGAGAAACGCUUGUCUAUUGGCUAGAAUGUUGUUAUGGAGUGUUUAUGAGGACAAGUGGCACGGGAUACGUACAUCUAAAGAAACAAGAGUGGAUCUACGCCAAGCUAGCUAGCUAGAUAGCUGCUCUUUCUAAUCUAUUUCUGUUGCUAAAUUAUGUUUGUUAAGAAGUGGAGCUAUAAUAUACCUGGCUCCUCUUGAUGAUUGUAAGUACUGGGCUGAUGAAAUAGUCCUGUACAAGUUGUCAUCUUUUA